rnacentral:rRNA from 1 species
UUUAGUUUCAUUAGUUUAUUCGUAAAAUCUUGUAGAUUUUAGGAAAAUUUUAUAUAAUAUUGAUAUAAAAGAAGGGAGGCCAAUAUGAGACAUAAAUUCCAGCAAGUUCUAAAUAAAAUACAUGAUUUUUUAAAUGGAUAUGACCAACCUGACCAGACUGAAACCAACUCCCUUACAGCCACUAUUGAAGAGGCUAUCCAGAAACAAACCGCUGUUCACCUUAUCUUGUCUGAGACAAGCUUUACAGGUGACAUCAUCAAAUAUGAUCAGCAAGGCCAGCAAAUUAUCGUGAAAAAUUUUUCCAAAAAUGUGAGCCGGAUUAUCCGUAUAAGCGAUAUUCAACGCCUGCGAUUUGUCCCCUCAACUGUCCAAACAGCCCAAAAAAAUAGAUUUAAGAAAGAGUGAGAUGUAGUUGCUUCAUCCCACUCUUUUUCUUAGCGAAUUUGUUCAAAAUGUAAAUGAACUGCAAUAUGAUCUCCAUAACCACUUCUUUCCAAGUCACGUUGUAAACGAUAGGAAAUGUAGUGUUCUGCAAUGGUAAUGUAACCUGCGCCCAAUAAACGAUGUUCAACCAUAGAUUGAAUCAUACUGAUAGUCGCACGUUCCACCUUGGCUUCUUGUAAAUCCAAAACUACCUUCUUAGUGACUUGAGCAAGAUUUUGACGCAAAUCAUCUGUCAAAACAUAAACAGUUUGGGCUGCCUUCAAGAUGGCUUGGUAAAUCUUAUCUGGAUUAAAUUCAGCAAUUUCGCCAUUACGUUUGAUUACUUGCAUAGGUUUCUCCUUUAUUCUUUGUUUUCUUUGAUUUCUGCCAGCAUUUUUUCUUCUUCUACUGUCAGUUGAUAAUGUUCAAGUAAAUCUGGUCUGCGCUCGUAGGUUUUCUUUAAACUCUCGUACAAUCGCCACUGACGAAUCUUUUCAUGGUGGCCACUCAUCAAUACAUCUGGCACGACCAUGCCUCGAUAAUCAUAGGGACGUGUGUACUGAGGAUAUUCUAAAAGACCUGAAGAAAAACUAUCAUCUUGGUGGCUAGACUCCUUGCCAAUCACUUCUGGAAUCAGGCGAACUGUAGCAUCAAUCAUGGUCAUAGCUGCCAAUUCUCCACCAGUGAGGACAUAGUCGCCUAGGGAAAUCUCAUCUGUUACCAAGGUCUUAAUGCGCUCAUCAUAACCCUCAUAGUGCCCACAGAUAAAGAUUAGCUCUUCCUCUUGAGCCAAAUCUUCAGCAUAAGCCUGAUCAAACUGCUUUCCAGCAGGAUCGAGGAGAAUAACGCGCGGAUUUUUCUUUUCAAUAGCAUCAAAGGAAUUGAAAAUAGGUUGUGCUCUGAGCAACAUGCCCUGACCGCCUCCGUAGGGCUCAUCAUCUACAUGACGGGCCUUUUCAGCAUUUUCUCGAAAAUUAUGAUACUGGAUAUCCAAGAGCCCUUUUUCUCGAGCCUUUCCAACGAUUGAGUGCUCCAGUGGAGAAAACAUCUCUGGAAAGAGGGUUAAAAUAUCAAUCUUCAUCGUCUAACCCUUCUAAGAUUUCCACAUCGAUCCGUUUAUUUGGAAUAUCAACAUUGAGAACCACUGGUGGGAUAUAAGGUAAAAGCAAAUCACGUUUGCCUUUUCGUUUGACCACCCAGACAUCAUUAGCACCUGGUUGCAGGAUUUCCUUGAUGGUUCCAACCAAGCUAUCACCCUCAUAGACUUCCAAACCGAUAAUCUCGUGAUAGUAAAAUUCACCAUCGUCUAGGUCAUUCAAAUCUUCCUCAGCGACCUUGAGACUGUAUCCCUUGUACUUUUCGAUAGUAUUGAUAUGGUACAUAUCUUUGAAUUUAAUAAUGUCAAAGUUCUUCUGUUUACGGUGGCUAGCGAUGGUCACUGUUUGGACAAACUGAUCUUUUUCAUCAAACAAAGCCAGCUCAGCUCCUUUUUUAAACCGUUCUUCUGCAAAAUCCGUCACAGACAAGACUCGCAUCUCACCCUGUAAUCCCUGCGUAUUAACGAUUUUCCCAACAUUAAAGUAGUUCAUCUUGUCUCCUGUAAUCUCCUUUUUUCCAUCUUAUUCUGACAAUUCUCGAAUAAUAGCCGCAAUUUUUUCCGAUUCUGACCAUUGUAAAUAAUGGUGAUUCCUUCCUAAAAUGAGUUUAGUAUUGGAAGUCCAAUAUUCUGAUUCUCUGUACUCUUUUUCUCUAUAAGUCUGACAAAAAAUAAAUACAGGGACAUGAGAUUCUAUCGACAAAUUCUCAAAAUCUUCCUCAGUAAUCUCUCCAGAUAUCUGAAAUUCUGGAUCUUGAUUUUCCAACUCUAAGCCUUUUUCUUGCAUUAAUUCCCAGAUUUUUUUAUUCGUUUCAGGACUAAAUGUUGCUUGAGUUAAGUUCUUAAAAUAAAGUUCAGGACCACACUCGUCAAUCAGCCUCAUCUGCUCUUCCAUUUCUGGAUAAGGAUUUUCUGAAAAAUCAGCAAACAUGACUUUUUUAGUUGUCGGUUCAAUUGCUACUAAAGUCUGACGCUUAAUUGGUUUCUCGAGUAAUUUGCAAGCUAAAAUUCCACUCCAACUAUGUGCACAAAGUAUAUAUUCAGAAAUUCCUAAUUCUUCAAGUACUUCAUAAACCGCAUCUGCAAGAUUAUCUAGAUUUUUUCCAGCUUGGUCAUGAAUCGGACUCCUACCUGUGUUCGGAAAAUCAAUUGUCAAAUAACCAAUUGUAGGAGGAGGUUUUUCAAGUAUAAGUGAAAAAUUUUCAUAACUUGGUAGCAAACCUGCUCCGUUUAGACAAACUAGCACUUUCUUUUGCUUUUGAUAAGUAACAGAGAGGCUACCAAUUUCUGUAGAUACUUCAAACCUCUUCAUAAAGAAAUCCACUCAUUCUAUAUAAUGAAUUAUUAAAAAUCCUUAUCCUUUAUUUUAUCACGUUCCAAAGAUUUUCUCAAGUUGGAGGAAGGGGACAACAUCUCUACUUUCCCUUCAAGAAUCCUCCCAAAUCAUGUUUAUGUUGGUAAUUAACGGCUGCGGUUUUGUCUUUCUCAAAGAUGGUUCUAGUUAGGUCAAUAUGCUUGAUAGCAGCAAUAGCGACGGUGUAGUGAAUGAUAUCAGCCAGUUCUAUGGCAGGUUCCUCGUUCGAAUCCUAUCCCUUCUUUUCGACCAGAGCGCCUAUUCAAAACCUCGGCUACUUCUCCGACUUCCUCCACUAACUUCAUAAAGAGACCUUCAUCAGUCCGAGACUGCUGUUAAUGUUCGAGUAAGUAGUCUUGGAAUUGCCUAAACGUUCAAUCUUUUAUAGUAUAUUGAAACUAGAAUAGUACACCUUUACUUCUAAAACAUUGUUAGAAAUCGAUUUGACUGUCCUGAUCGAUUUGUCCUGUUAUUAUUUCAUUUUACUAUAUCUUCUAUUCCACACAAAAAAGCGAGACAUCCGUCCCGCCCUUCUUAUUUUUCGUCAAUAACGAUUCUUACUUUUUUGUAUUCAGUUGGGACAGAGUAGACAAUCGUUCUUAUCGCAGAAAUAGUGCGACCCUUACGACCGAUUACACGACCCACAUCGCUUUGAUCAAGAUUCAAAUGAUAUUCCAAAAAUUCUGGUGUAUCUUCAAUCUUGAUAGUUAAGGCAUCUGGUUGUGAAAUUAAGGGUUUCACAAUCGCAAUAAUGAGAUUUUCAAUCGUAUCCAUCUGUCAACCUACUUUAAACUUAUUUUGAGAAUUUAGAAUCGUGGAAUUUUUUCAAUACGCCUUCUUUUGAAAGGAUGUUACGUACUGUGUCUGAAGGUUGAGCUCCAUUAGCCAACCAUGCAAGAACGCGGUCUUCUUUCAAAGUUACUUGGUUUUCAGCAACAAGUGGGUUGUAAGUUCCAACUGUUUCGAUGAAACGUCCGUCACGUGGUGAACGUGAAUCUGCUACGUUGAUACGGUAGAAAGGUUUUUUCUUAGAACCCAUACGAGUCAAACGGAUUUUAACUGCCAUUUUUAAAGUCUCAUUUCUUUAAUUUUUUAUUUCGGUGAAAUAGCUGAGCUAUUUAGCACAUGUUCUAUUAUAGCAGAUUUUUGGCAUGUGUCAAGAAAAAAACUUGACAGACUAUAAAUUUCUUAAAGUAUUUAGAAAUUUGUUAGAAUAGGAAAUAAAUGUUUGAAAGAUACUAUCCGUGAAUNGUGAUGGGGAGCGAAGUUUAGUAGCGAAGUUAGUGACGUCACACUGCCAAGAAAAGCUUCUAGCGUUUAAACAUACUCUACCCGUACCGCAAACCGACACAGGUAGUCGAGGCGAGUAGCCUCAGGUGAGCGAGAGAACUCUCGUUAAGGAACUCGGCAAAAUGACCCCGUAACUUCGGGAGAAGGGGUGCUGACUUUAAGUCAGCCGCAGUGAAUAGGCCCAAGCAACUGUUUAUCAAAAACACAGCUCUCUGCUAAAUCGUAAGAUGAUGUAUAGGGGGUGACGCCUGCCCGGUGCUGGAAGGUUAAGAGGAGUGCUUAGCGUAAGCGAAGGUAUGAAUUGAAGCCCCAGUAAACGGCGGCCGUAACUAUAACGGUCCUAAGGUAGCGAAAUUCCUUGUCGGGUAAGUUCCGACCCGCACGAAAGGCGUAAUGAUUUGGGCACUGUCUCAACGAGAGACUCGGUGAAAUUUUAGUACCUGUGAAGAUGCAGGUUACCCGCGACAGGACGGAAAGACCCCAUGGAGCUUUACUGCAGUUUGAUAUUGAGUGUCUGUACCACAUGUACAGGAUAGGUAGGAGUCUAAGAGAUCGGGACGCCAGUUUCGAAGGAGACGCUGUUGGGAUACUACCCUUGUGUUAUGGCCACUCUAACCCAGAUAGGUGAUCCCUAUCGGAGACAGUGUCUGACGGGCAGUUUGACUGGGGCGGUCGCCUCCUAAAAGGUAACGGAGGCGCCCAAAGGUUCCCUCAGAAUGGUUGGAAAUCAUUCGCAGAGUGUAAAGGUAUAAGGGAGCUUGACUGCGAGAGCUACAACUCGAGCAGGGACGAAAGUCGGGCUUAGUGAUCCGGUGGUUCCGUAUGGAAGGGCCAUCGCUCAACGGAUAAAAGCUACCCUGGGGAUAACAGGCUUAUCUCCCCCAAGAGUUCACAUCGACGGGGAGGUUUGGCACCUCGAUGUCGGCUCGUCGCAUCCUGGGGCUGUAGUCGGUCCCAAGGGUUGGGCUGUUCGCCCAUUAAAGCGGCACGCGAGCUGGGUUCAGAACGUCGUGAGACAGUUCGGUCCCUAUCCGUCGCGGGCGUAGGAAAUUUGAGAGGAUCUGCUCCUAGUACGAGAGGACCAGAGUGGACUUACCGCUGGUGUACCAGUUGUCUUGCCAAAGGCAUCGCUGGGUAGCUAUGUAGGGAAGGGAUAAACGCUGAAAGCAUCUAAGUGUGAAACCCACCUCAAGAUGAGAUUUCCCAUGAUUAUAUAUCAGUAAGAGCCCUGAGAGAUGAUCAGGUAGAUAGGUUAGAAGUGGAAGUGUGGCGACACAUGUAGCGGACUAAUACUAAUAGCUCGAGGACUUAUCCAA